rnacentral:rRNA from 1 species
AUUGAACGCUGGCGGCAUGCCUUACACAUGCAAGUCGAAUGGCAGCACGGGUGCUUGCACCUGGUGGCGAGUGGCGAACGGGUGAGUAAUACAUCGGAACAUGUCCUGUAGUGGGGGAUAGCCCGGCGAAAGCCGGAUUAAUACCGCAUACGAUCCACGGAUGAAAGCGGGGGACCUUCGGGCCUCGCGCUAUAGGGUUGGCCGAUGGCUGAUUAGCUAGUUGGUGGGGUAAAGGCCUACCAAGGCGACGAUCAGUAGCUGGUCUGAGAGGACGACCAGCCACACUGGGACUGAGACACGGCCCAGACUCCUACGGGAGGCAGCAGUGGGGAAUUUUGGACAAUGGGCGAAAGCCUGAUCCAGCAAUGCCGCGUGUGUGAAGAAGGCCUUCGGGUUGUAAAGCACUUUUGUCCGGAAAGAAAUCCUUGACUCUAAUACAGUCGGGGGAUGACGGUACCGGAAGAAUAAGCACCGGCUAACUACGUG